UACAGAGGUCUCGAGCGUUAGGCGGAAUCACUGGGCUUAAAGCGUGUGUAGGUGGAUCGGUAAGUACCUUGUGAAAUCCCACGGCUUAACCGUGGAACUGCUUGGUAUACUGCCAGUCUUGAGCCAGCUAGGGGCGACUGGAACAAACGGUGGAGCGGUGAAAUGCGUAGAUAUCGUUUGGAACGCCAAUGGUGAAAACAGGUCGCUGGGGAUGCGCUGACGCUGAGACACGAAAGCCAGGGGAGCAAACGGG
rnacentral:rRNA from 1 species